rnacentral:rRNA from 1 species
CCCUUAGACGUUCUGGGCCGCACGCGCGCUACACUGACCAGUGCAACAAGCAUCCGUCCUUGGCCGACAGGCCCGGGCAAUCUUUGAACGCUGAUCGUGAUGGGGAUAGACUUUUGCAAUUUUUGGUCUUCAACGAGGAAUUCCUAGUAAACGCAAGUCAUCAACUUGCAUUGAUUACGUCCCUGCCCUUUGUACACACCGCCCGUCGCACCUACCGAUUGAAUGGUCCGGUGAAGCCUCCGGAUUGGCGCGCACCUCGGUGCCGCCGAGAAGUUGGCUAAACCUUACCAUUUAGAGGAAGGUGAAGUCGUAACA